rnacentral:lncRNA from 1 species
CCGGGUUCGGGUCUCCGGGCUCUUCCGCAUUCGGAUCUCCACGCAUGUCCAUGCUCCGACCCGGAUUCUGCAGCCUGCCUUCAACGCCGACCCGGGUCCCGGCCCGUUCCGGAAUCGGGUAUUUGGAUUUCUGCGAGGAGGAGCCUGCAAUGGAGAGGGUGGAGUCUGGAAGGGGGCUGAGAGCCAGGAUGUUAGAGAAGCUGAGGGAGGAGAAUUCGUUGGGCCGGGUCGACCCGGGUCCGAACUGUACCGGUGCUCCGGAUGUUGGGUGGGUUUCUGAGCUGGUUCAGUGAAGUGAAGGAUUACUUGUCUGAUAACUUGUUUCUAUGAUGACGAUUCUAUUUGGGGUACUUGAUUCCGGUGGCCUCUAAAUAUUUUGGGUC